AUCGUAUUGGGUUGCCAAGCUGCUACAACGUGCAAAGUCCACAAGGUUUCAGCAAUCACUUGUACCUAGUGCUUCAGUGACGUUUAUGAACUUGGCAAUGCUUGGAAAGAAGCGCCAUUGUUACGCAACCGAAUUCCUUGUUUCGACGUAGAUAUACAGAAAUUAGGUAAAGAAAGGAUCGGUUAGCUUCAUUGUUCUAUGAUAUCAAAGGACCAAGUAGGACUUGCCAACGAGGAAAUCGAAAAAUCCGUGCCAAGAGCGU